CCUGUCCCAAUUUUCACACUUGCUAUCUGGUCACCCUAGGUCCUUCGGAUCUGACAAGUUGAGCAGAGUUGAGCUUGGUCAGUGCUAGGAUGGGACACUGCUAGAGAAACUCCAGGUGCUUCAGGA
ensembl:rRNA 5S_rRNA 5S ribosomal RNA